GGAAUUCAUUUGAAAUGAAUUCCAGCUAGAAUUGAUGUGAAAUGAAUUUCAUUGUUUGAUUGGUAUGACAAAACUUAAAAUGCUGAAUUCAAUUGAAUUUCAUAAAUUCAUAAUUUCAGAAUUAAAAUUCCUUUGUCCUCGAUCCCUCUAAUCUCAAGAGUCAAAUUAAAAAAUUAUAAUUUUCUACAAAAUUCUACUCUAUUCAACUCAACUAAGCCUUUAU
rnacentral:misc_RNA from 1 species